CUCGAUUUCUUCUCUCAGGAAAAAUCAUGGUAUUACUUGAUUGUGUUCUUCAUGACCAGGAGAGUGAUCUUGUAGCUAAUUUUGUGUCAUUCUGGUCGCAAUGUAAAGAAAGCUUGGUGGUGCCCCCAAUGCAGCUGAAAUAUGUCAUGGUGUAACUAUGAUUGUUCUUGUAGUGGACUCCUGUAAAUGAAGGAUCAUGACACUUGAAUAACUAGGAGAGGUUUAUGAGGUGACUGGGGACCAGGACCGGGUAGCUGUUAUUAUGGAUAAUGGUGGCAUGACAGUAAAAAGGAGGAAAGAUGGACGAAAUGAGUGUUGAAGAAGCUGCGAAGUUCUCGAUUCGUUGGCUAGAUGGUACGUCAUGACCAGCAACAGAUGAGCAAAGUAA